CUACGUGCCAGCAGCCGCGGUAAUACGUAGGUCCCGAGCGUUGUCCGGAUUUAUUGGUCGUAAAGCGAGCGCAGACGGUUACUUAAGCAGGAUGUGAAAUCCCCGGGCUCAACCUGGGAACUGCGUUCUGAACUGGGUGACUAGAGUGUGUCAGAGGGAGGUAGAAUUCCACGUGUAGCAGUGAAAUGCGUAGAGAUGUGGAGGAAUACCGAAGGCGAAGGCAGCCCCUUGGGAAUGUACUGACGCUCAUGUGCGAAAGCGUGGGGAGCAAACAGGAUUAGAUACCCUGGUAGUCCACGCUGUAAACGAUGUCGAUUUGGGGGUUGAACUUUAAGUUUGGCGCCCGUAGCUAACGUGAUAAAUCGACCGCCUGGGGAGUACGGCCGCAAGGUUAAAACUCAAAUGAAUUGACGGGGGCCCGCACAAGCGGUGGAGCAUGUGGUUUAAUUCGAUGCAACGCGAAGAACCUUACCUACUCUUGACAUCCAGAGAACAUUC
rnacentral:rRNA from 1 species